CAAUGCUUUCAGCAGAAUUUAGAAACACAACACUUCCUAAACAGAUAUUUUGAGUCUGAUGUUGAACGUUUGAGAGUAUAUCAGUGUGUUUGUUUGUGGUCUUUCUGUUUCUAGGUGGAAGCUGAAUUAGUGAGGAUGACUCCUGCUCCUGUCAUUUCUAAGCUCCUCACACAUCUUUACCUGCACAUGAGGAAAAUCACUCCUGUAGAAUGCAGAUGUUCAGAGGGAGAUGAUGCCACAUCUGGUCCAGCUGAUGGAAGGUCUUGAAGUUCUCUGACUGGCCUCGACUGAAGAUGGUCGUCUCACUGGAUUUAAGGUUCAGAUGCUCAGUAACAAACUCCACCAAUGAGCCAACAGGGAAGCUUUAGGUUUAUUAAAUGUUGUUAUGAAGGUUUCGCUGUUUUUCUUUGUGAAUGCAAUGUGCUCCAACUGAAACUUGAAUUAGAACUUAGAAGUAAAUCCUUCCACCUGAAAGCAUUUAGUUGCAUUAAUAACCUCAUAACAUUCUAAUUUUCAUUCCGGUCUUGGUUGGAAAUAGAAUCUCUGUAUUGAUUCAGGUAAAAACUGAACUUCACAGCAUGUUGGAGCAAAACAACCAGAUGAAAACUGUGAUGGUGUUGGAUUGUCAGGCCGUAAUGUUGCAGCUCAAAGCAGCUUUUCUAUCUCGGUUUAUUCUGACAUUCAGCUAUGAAUCAACACAGCAGAUGGUGAUCCAUGCUGUGGAAGUCUCACAUCUCCUGAUUUAAUGGAGCUGCUUUGCACUUUUUACACUGUUUAUUCACCAACACUUUAUUUAAUAAAAGUCCCAUCUAGUUUUUAUGAGGAAUGUGGUGUUUUCAGGGAUGAGAAUUUUCCGCGGAUCCGCGGAAUUCCGAGUUUUUUUCCGCCGAAAGUAUAGUUUUUGUGAAUCGUGUAAAUCCGUUGAGAAAAUUGUAGGGGGGUAGGGGUAGGCAAGCGGCCGGCCGGCCGACGCGUCGCGAGCCGAGGCUUGUGAUGGCCAUCCCGCCGCCGACAUCUUUCGGCAACGCGCAUUGCAAAAUCAGAUACAGCUGUGAGAACGGAAAUCGGCAUUGCUAUCUGUAAACAUCACUCGCUAUUUAUGUUAAUGACAACAUCCGCCUAUUUUCGGCGGGGGGGGGGGGGGCGCCACCUUCGGCAGACAUUUUCAGAGUUUUUUUCCAUUUGUCAUUCUCAUCCCUGUGUUUUAAUUUCUCAGUGAAUAACUGCAGUCUAAUGGAACAGCUGGAAUUGUAACAUCUGUCCUGAUCUUGAUCAUGAAGUAUUGAUCAGAAUACUUAUGGUCAGCAGCCAUCCCUGAAGUUUUACAUUAAAAUAUUUACUUGUGUUGUGAACUUUGGUAAGAAGCAGAAACUUUAGCGUUGCCAUGGAUACAUGAGUGUUAAAUUCUGUCCAUGUUUCCAUUUUGGGAAAUUCAGUCCAGCAGAUGAGUUUGUUUUUACUGGCAGCUACAUUCAGUCUGAGAUAUUAAGAAUAAGUAAAGGUGUAUAAUGUGGAAAUGAACAGAUUUUAUUUUUAUUUAUUCCUACAGCGGAUGCAGGGAAAGUUCCAGAAUGUGGAGGAAUUUAGUCUCACAAUCACAGACAAUAAAUAUUAUGUGAAAGUUGGGUUAUUGUUGUUUAUCAGCACAAUACAAAAAGAUUCAUGUUAGACAUAUUCCAGUUAAGACUCUAGAAUUUCAGGAUUUAUGUAAAUUUACCUCAAUAAUAUGAAUGUUCAGGUUAAGAUUGUGCAGUGAUAUUUAUUAUGUAAGUUUAGGUGAUUAAAGUUUAUGCCUCUGCACUACAAUAUUAUUUAAAUUGGCAUCAUUAUAAUAUUUAGGAUCAGACCCUACAGUAUUGAGAUUAAGAAAUCAAAUAUUCUAUAAAAUGUAAAUACACUGAACUCAUUUGGAUUUAUUUGACACAAAUCUAUCUAAAUCAAAAUUUUAAUUAUUUUUACUCCAAACGUUUACUGGACUGAUUUAAAUAUUGAAAUCACUCUAUUCUAAUCCUUUGCUGUACAUUCAAACCUGAGGCCUGAAAUAGAAACACACAAGUAUCUGAUUGAAGGAACUUCUGCAGAGUCCUGGUUCCAGAACAUGAUGAUAGAAUUAUAGACAAACUUUAACAAAAGCUGUCUGAGAGUUUACAGGUUUUUAUGUUAGAUUUCUUCAGUAAUUUAAUGAACGUUAUCAGCAAAAAUCAAGUGUUCAUUUGAUGAACUUCAUUUCCUAAAACAUCCAGAAUUGGAGCUCAUAUCUUUGGCAGCUGUAAAGUUUCUGCUCCUUCAAAGUUCAAAAUGAAUGAAUUCCUAAAACACUCUCAAUGCUGGAGAGCGUUUGUGAUGCUGAAGCAGUGACCAGUUUUUCUGUUUCUUCUCUGGAGAUGCACAAUGAGGGACGUCUGCAGAGACUGAGAAAGAGUCUCACCACAUCCUGACAUGAGGAAAAAGACUUUAUUGAAGACUACAAUGAGAAAAACUAUCAGACAGCAGAGGGCUGCAUUCAAGGUUUCCCAGAGACUAUGGGUUGAGGAGGAAUUGGAAGUUUGUCGGCUUAGACCUGGUGUCAUUCCAUCAGUGUUAAACUUCCCGGCUCAUCUUGGAAGAGUACGUGCCAGAAAGACCACGACCAAGCAGCCUUGAGAUCUUAGACAGCGUCUCCCUUAGGUCCCUCUCUAUCUCCCCACACAUCCACCAACCACUGGAACACAUCUCCAAAGUUCUGCUGGGCCAGCUGAGCUUCCCCUCAGAAGAAGUGCUGCCACCUGCCAGAUGAAGGAGCCUUUUGAGAGGCAGCUGGCAUCGUGAUUGGACUGUACUUUGGUCUGUUCCAGUCCAGCUUCAGUUCCAGAGACGGCAGGUGGGAUCAGUCAACGGAGGCCUGGUGGACGAAGGCAUGCAGCUGAGUACAAUCCAGAAAACAACAGAGGAGGAGUGCAGCAGCCAGAACAACCAGAGUAGCAUCGUAUGUCUCUUAGAAAACAUCAUAGUAUAGCCUUUGGUAUGAAAAAACGCCAUCAUAUACAUCGUAUAUUGUACAAAUAACAAGUCAAAGGAAAGAGACAUCAACUGUAAAAUUGUAGUAAUUGUGGGCUGACUGAUUUACUGAUUAUCAGUAUUUUAUUUUUGACUGAUUUACGGUAAUAAAUACAUUUAAAAAUGGUGCUACUUUGGCUCUGAACCUUUAUCUACCUGUGGUCGCUCUGUCUUCUGGAGUGAUUUGAUUGGUUAUACGUCACGAAUAAAACUCCUUUAACAUCUGUAAACAAAACAAAAACGUAUCAACAAAGUUUUCUGUUAGAAUUUGUGUUCUUCUAAGUUUAACUCCAAGAUUUUAAAUACUUUCAUUUACUGCAAAUGAAUAUCUACUCCAAAUGUCUCACUAAUAAUCAUUAUCAGCCUUAAAAACCCACAAAACACCCCUCUAUACUCGACCACACUUAGUACAGUCCGGUUCCCCCUUCUAUAAAUCUGCUUGGAAUCGUCCACUUCCUGUUUGUCAAAGUGGCCUUCUACCUGGACAGGUUUUGUUGGAGCUCAUGCAACAAACAUUUUGGGUAACUGCACUUUAAUAUGGAUGGAUGACACUGAAUUAGACUCUGUUUUAAUGAGUUAAGAUGUGUAGUUUUGUCGUUAAAUAGUAAAUUAUUUCUCAGAAUUCACAGAGAAAAGUCUGAAAUGUUUGCAAGGUUAGCGUCCCACAUGUUCUUUGGCUCAGCUAAAGCUAACUCUCUGCAACUUCUGGAUCUCUUGAGUUGCUUGUUGUUAAAAUAUCUUGCUAGAGGUGCUGAAGCUCAGAAAGUCUGAGAUGUUUGUUCAAAAUAAGCUCAUUCUCAAGUCUUAUCUGAAGUGUCCUCCUUUGUUUGAACUUUCCCUAAACCUAGGAGUUAAUGACAGAGCAGCACAUCCAGACUCGGUCUCAUUUAUGUAGAGAUUAAACUUCAGUGUCAUUCAUUGAUGUUAAAGUGCAGUUUUUGAAAUGUUUGUUGCACAUGCUCCCGACCAAACCAGUCCAGGUGGAAGACGAUGUGAAGAGAAAGCUCCAGAGGAUGAAUAUCACACAUUUCCGUUGGAAAUAAAUGUCCUUUAAUUAGACAUUGUCAUGCAAAAGUUGGAUUUCCCUUUAAUGAUGUUCAAAUCUUUGUUGAGUGUUUUGUUGAUGUUGGUUUCUAAAUGUUUUUUGACACACUGCCCCAAAGAUUAAAACCUUCUACGGCUCACAAGCUGCAACAAUUCACACAUUAUCAACUAUCUUUCUGAUUAAACUAAGAUAAAAAGUGAAAAACUGCCUGAUUCCUGCAUCAUGAAUGUAAAUCUUUUUGGUGUUUAUGACAGUAAACUGAAUAUAUUUGGGUUUGACAUUUUAUGAACCAAAACAAGAAAUGAAUUACUGGAGAAAACAAUCAACAGAUUAAUGGACAAAGAAAAUGUGUUUUCCAACAUAUAUGGCUGAAUUACUCCAACAUUACAAGAUACAUACUAUUUUAAUUCAAUUUUAUUUAUAUAAUGCCAAUUACAGGUCAAAUUGUC